AAAUACUUACAGAACCUGAAUUGAUAUAGACAUAAACUCUUCCUUCUUCUCUGAUGGUACUUAGCAUUGGAGCACCAACUAACAAGUCUGAGAGGCCGUCUGCAUUCAGGUCCACAGCACAAACUGCAGCUCCAAACACACAGAGAAAAUGGAAAAAUCAGAUCAGAUCAGAUAAGAACGGGCCUUAAAUCCUUCAUCUGUGAAGACAGCUGUCUAGAAUUCAAGCUCUCUUAAAGCCAGCAUUUUAUUUUCAUAUUUUAAGCUAAAAUACGUGAACAAGACAAUUUAUCAUUCAAAGGUCAACACUUCGUUUUUACGUACUCAACAAAAAAAUUAAGCUUGAGUAGAUGAACCUUCAUUUACCUCCUCUGAUCAUUAUUUUAUAGUUAUUUUGGUUUUACUGAAGUGUAAAUAUUGAUCAUUGUAAUUAACUUCUUAAAAAAUAAAGUCACCAAGAGAAACUAUAGUUAUCAGAGCACCCAGAUUUCUAUUGUGGCAUUCAAAUGGUGGGGGGAGGAGGGGAAAUCACGUAAUUGACCCUUUAAAUUUAAAGGUAUAAUCAAACAAAAUUUUAUUUCCAACCCCAAUAUUAUCUCCUCUUCUCCAUUACUAAAGACUGGCUUACUACCUUAAAAUCCUCUGGCUUUUCAUUGCCUCCCUUUUUAAUGAUAGAUAUUAUAUUGACUUCUCAGUUUUCUCAGAUUCCUAAAAGAAACUAUCAAUUAUUUUGUGAUUUCUUUACAGGAGUUUGUUAAGUAUCUCAGAUUACCCUUUCAUCAGGCCCAGCUGAUUUGAAAAACCAACUUACCUAAUUCUCUCCCCACUCGCUCCCCAGCAUAGUUCUUAUACAAGCUUUUACCCGCUUGCCUAUAUCUGGCUUUUGUCUGUCAAAGACUUGUUUCAUUCAUUACAGAGAUUCUCACCCUUAUACUUGCAGGAGCAGAAAUCUGGAUGAGCUUUUUCCCAGGCAGGUGCAAUAUUUUGCUACUAAAUGUUAGUGGAAGGCACCCUCUAAAUUUUUUAAUUUGUCUUAUGAAAGGUUAGAAACAUUACUGAUUAACUUUAUUGAUCUGGGUAUAUAAUCACCUUUUACACCCAGCAUCUUUUGCUUGAGUUUUCCUCGGAGCCCAACUGCAGCCUUUGCAAGGCUCAGCACUGACUUCUAAAGUGUUAGACAUUUUAUAUUUCCUAAUAUUUAUUUCAUAAUUUAUCCCUGCUUCCUAUUGCCAAAAGAGUAAAAAAAAAAAGGAAAUGUUUAUCUACAUGAACUAGAUCUAUGA